rnacentral:rRNA from 1 species
GUACGGGAGGCAGCAGUGAGGAAUAUUGGACAAUGGAUGGAAAUCUGAUCCAGCCAUGCCGCGUGCAGGAAGACGGCCCUAUGGGUUGUAAACUGCUUUUGUAUGGGAGCAAUAAGGUCUAUGCGUAGACUGAUGAGAGUACCAUACGAAUAAGCAUCGGCUAACUCCGUGCCAGCAGCCGCGGUAAUACGGGGGAUGCAAGCGUUAUCCGGAUUUAUUGGGUUUAAAGGGUGCGUAGGCGGUUUGAUAAGUCAGCGGUGAAAUAUUUCAGCUUAACUGAAAGGGUGCCGUUGAUACUGUCAGGCUUGAAUAUGGUUGCUGUGGGUGGAAUGUGUGGUGUAGCGGUGAAAUGCUUAGAUAUCACACAGAAUAUCGAUUGCGAAGGCAGCUCACAAAGCCAUUAUUGACGCUGAUGCACGAAAGUGUGGGGAUCAAACAGGAUUAGAUACCCUGGU